AACCUGGGCUGGUGGAAGGUGUCCCUGCCCAUGGCAGGGAGUGGAACUGGGUGAUCUUCAAUGACCCUUCCAACCCAAACCAUUCCAUGACUCUACGAUGGCACAACUGAGUCCUUCCCACGCUUAAGAGCAAAAUGAGAUGCUCUCUAAAAGCACCUCCUUCACAUGGUCCCACGUGAAUAUCACAACAAGAAGCCAAAAACAAAAUAAGACCCAACCUUGUAAAGCCUUUUGCUGCAUCUGGGUCUCAGUCCCAGUAUGGCAGCACUGGGCACCAGUUUCCUGCCAGCAAAAUGCAUCCUGUGCUGUUCCUCUCUCUGCAGUCAAAGUCUGAUUCAUUGGCUUUUCCUUGGUGUGGAAAUGGGCUCUGAUUUAACCCACAGUGUGGACCAGUUUGGUCUUUCCCAGUGUUUGAGAGGAUUUGAGCUGUGUGCACGAGAGUUUAAUGGAAUGAACUCGCUAUCCAGGGAGGGAGGUGUGAAAUGGGGACCAGGUGGCAAGCUGGGAAGCCUGAGAAGGAAGAACACUGAGUGGAUUCCGAAAUGAAGGAGAUCACACACUAAUUAAACCAGCCAGAUUUGGUAAUGACUGCUAAUGGCACAUUAAGCUGUCUAGUCUGAGAUAUAGGUUUGUUUUGCUGCUUCCCAGUUCGGGUUUGCUGCUUGUUUGUUUAUUUUGCUGGUUUUACAGUUUUAUGGCUGUUGACCUCCUGAACAUGACAAUCCUGUCCCAGCUCUGACAGGGGUGAUGUUAAUGGCCCACAAUGAGUUCUGUGCCCCAGGAGCCCAGCAAUGUGCUCUGCCCAGCCCCUUCUGCUGAAUAUCUCUGAAAAAGUGCAGUCCUGUGGCUCUUCUGUGCCCAAUGCCCCCCCCUCAAUGCAAUUCCUCCCAUUUUAUAGCUGUUUGCAGGGGGGUUGGACUCCCAAAGCAGAAGGGGAGGUGGUUUGCAGUGAGACAGCCUGGCUGCCAUGACAGCAUUCCCCUAAAACCAGGACCAGGGACAAGGAUAAACCCAAGUGCAGGAACUGUGAGACUGCACCCCCACUGUGCCACCCCAGCCCAGCAUCCCCUCUGUGCCCUAAGAACUUGCAGAGGGAGCAAAAUAAAACCCCAGGUGAGAGCUUGUUGAAGCCACAACUUGUUUUGAGCAGCAACCGUGUCUUUUUCUUUUGGAGAAAUUCAACAUUAAAUACAUCGGGGUGUUGAAAGGAAAACUCAAGAAAGAAUACCCAGUGAGGGGUAAAACAAACCUGUCUGCUGUUCUUAGGGAGUUUGUUUGUCAUCUCAUAGUCCAACCCCUAGGGCAGGAGACAGUGUAGGCAUGUCCUGGUGCUCCACAGCUGGGAUUUGGAGAGUGUCACCACACUAAAAUGGAAACAACAGACUUUUUUACAAGAUGCUGGCAGUUUCUUCCAGCCAUCCGUCCCGGCACUGCCUUUCUGGCUGUUCCAGAAGCAGGAUCAGCUCUGUUUGCAGUCAUUUCUCUCAGCCCUAAAUGAGGCUGGAACGCUCAACCCCACAGGUGCCUCCCACCUGGGCCAUGGGAACACUCACUGAGUCACAUCAUCUGCCUGGGGACCUUCUGUGCCACCAUUCAAACUGCUCCAAAUUCAACACAGCUCUCUUUGGAAGCUGCCAGUUUCCAAAGGAUCCCAAAUGUCCUCAGGAAGGCUGAGGCACAGUUUCCCUGCAUUCCUGGUGUGGUGUUCACUCUGUACCCCGGGCAUUAAGAAAGAGCAAACUGUUAACACCUUGCCAAGGUCUUGCCUUUGCAGUUUGAUGUCACCUGCUGUGCCACCUGACCUAACCCAGCUCAGAGGGGACUCUAGUGAGGCAAGUGAGGCUCUGACCAGCUGAAGGUCCAGCCCUCAGGGACAGCAGGAACAAUUUAUCCUGUGGAUAUCCAAAUGGACACCGUACCCUGAUGGGUGUUAAUGCUCAUGGGAAAUGAAUCUGUGGAAGAACAAAGGUUUUCAGGAAUAGUCAGCAUGGCUUCACCAAGGGCAAAUCCUGCAGAGCCCUGAAGCUGGGGAAGAACAAGCCCAGGCAGCAGCACAGGGGAGAGCAGCUCUG